UACGUAGGGUGCGAGCGUUAAUCGGAAUUACUGGGCGUAAAGCGUGCGCAUGCGGCGCGUUAAGACAGGUGUGAAAGCCCCGAGCUUAACUUGGGAAUUGCGCUUGUGACUGGCGUGCUGGAGUGUGGCAGAGGGAGGUGGAAUUCCACGUGUAGCAGUGAAAUGCGUAGAGAUGUGGAGGAACACCGAUGGCGAAGGCAGCCUCCUGGGCCAGCACUGACGCUGAGGAGCGAAAGCGUGGGGAGCAAACAGG
rnacentral:rRNA from 1 species